UUGAAUAAGGAACGCUGCGCCGGGUUACCCCUGUUAGGCUUAUUCAAGAAUGAUCAUUUUAUUAUAAUCAACGGCGUUCAUUAUUA
rnacentral:ncRNA from 2 species